AUGAUCUCUGCUAUCAAAGCCCAACGGGAGGACUGGCUGGAUCACCGACCAGGGCACUCAAAUGUUGCAGCAGAUAGGAAGUCGUGGUCUCAGCUAUGGAAAGUGAAGGUUCCUUCCAAAAUCCGAGUUUUUGUUUGGAGGUUGGCGCACACAUCGAUUCCAACAGGCGCAGUGCGGCAUGAGAGGAAGAUGGCGGACAACGCAACAUGCUCUAUUUGUGGUGCUGACGAGGACACCUGCCGCAUGGCUACGUGUGUGUGGGCUUUGGGUGAUGAGGAGCUGCUUGAGCACGUCAUAUCAAAUCAGAACGCUGAUGCGAAGCUAUGGUUGUUCUGGCUGUUCGAAACGACAAGUCAUCAAGAUCUCACCCGAGUUCUCGUAACAAUGUGGGCAAUCUGGUGGGCUCGACAGAAAGCCAUACACGAGAAUGAGUUCCAGAGUCCGUUGUCAACCAUGAGUUUCAUCAAUAGAUUUUUGGAGGAACUCGAUGUCGCAGUUGUUCAAGGUUCGAGGAUGAAGCCGGGCCGCUACUCAGCUCCGAAGGUGCGAGCUUGGCUGCCACCAGCAGGAGAUGCAGCAAAAAUAAAUUGUGACGAAGCAAUCUCUACUCUUGAGGAGAAAGGCGCAUCGGCUAUAGUGUGCCGGGACAGGUUAGGCAAAUUUGUAGGGGCAUCAGCGAUUGUUUUUGAUGGUGUGAUCGACCCGUCAAGCUUGAAGGCGCAAGCAUGCAGCGAGGCUCUUGCCCUGGCACGUGACUUGAAUUUGCAGAGUCUCGAGAUCGCUUCGGAUUGCUUAGAGGUGAUUACAAACAUCAACAGAGAAGCUUCGCCAGUUUAUGCGCCAAUAUUGCAUGAAAUCUAUCGAAACUUUUUUACUUCUGUUAUUUUCCGUUUUGAAAGUACGGAGAAUAAUUUCGAGGCCCACUCGGUAGCAAAAGGAGCUGCGUCUCUGCCGCUGGGCCGCCAUGUGUGGCUAGGGGUAUUACAAGACAUUGCUUGUAUUCCGGAUAUGAUGAUCCUUGAAUAA
rnacentral:rRNA from 1 species